CUGCACUGCUCGUUACCUGGUUCAAUCCGCAGUGUGAACUUCGGGUUCUAUUCCAGUGCUACAGUGAACUCCAGUGAGGCAGGGGAGCAGUGCCUCUCUGUGCUGGCUCCCUGUUCACUCACUGGGAACACAG
rnacentral:snoRNA from 1 species